rnacentral:rRNA from 1 species
CCUACGGGAGGCAGCAGUAGGGAAUUUUGCGCAAUGGGCGAAAGCCUGACGCAGCAACACCGCGUGAAUGUUAAGCCCUUCGGGGUGUAAAGUUCUGUCAAUAGGGACGAAUUUUGAGUGUACGUAUAAAGGAAGCACUGGCUAACUUCGUCCCAGCAAGCGCGGUAAUACGGGGGGUGAAAGCGUUGUCCGGAAUCAGUGAGCGUAAAGAGUUCGUAGGCGGCAAGGUAAGUCUGAUGUUAAAGCCCGGGGCUCAACUCCGGUUCGGCAUUGGAUACUAUCAGGCUUGAGUGUAGUAGAGGUAAGUGGAAUUCCUGGUGUAGCGGUGAAAUGCGUAGAUAUCAGGAGGAACAUCAGUGGCGAAAGCGGUUUACUGGACCAUUAUUGACGCUGAGGAACGAAAGCCAGGGGAGCAAAUGGGAUUAGAUACCCCUGUAGUC